UAAAACGGGACGUUGCUUUCAACAGCUCUGAGUAUGUUUUUUUUUUCUUCUUCUUUUUUCCCCCCUCAUUUAUUUUACCCCUCCAUAGGGGCUGAGUGUGGGAACGGAGGAGCUGAACACGCAGCGCCAGACGAAUCCUCAGCCUCUAUGCGGGUAUAAGAAUUAAGGGUGAUUGGUGGAGUAAGGUAAAUCAGGAGAUUGUAUGUAGAGUGUCAAUGGUCCAUUUGGGUGAUAGGUGGCGGUAAUGCACUUGUGUGUUUGCGAUCCGCCGUAAAACAACAACAACAACAACAACAAGAAGAAGAAGAAGAAGAAGAAGAAGAAGAACAACAACAACAACAACAACAACAGCUCUGAGUUUACAGAUUGCUUAAAUGUGGAUUUCUUCAUUAACGUCAACAGGAGCCUAAGGUGUGAUGAGAAAGUUUGCAGUGGUCUAAUAGGUCAGUGGAGAGGAUGCUGGGAUGUAUAGCGAGGUGAAAACCCAUGCCAUACGUAAAUAUGAUGACACCAAGAUGGAUGACGAUGGAUACCCGCAAACUGACUAUUCAGCUGCUGUGGAAUGGCAAAAAGGGAAAAAGCCAAAACAUGGCUGGCCAGUGUACACUGCCUCUAUCAAGUUUGUGAGCAGUAAGUAGACAAUCGAUUUCAUACUAAUGCUAAGAUUAAGGAAUUCCUGCGCUUGGAGUCUGAUGAAAGGGACAAGCCAUUGCCUAAGAAAAGGGCCUCAGUACCGCCAUCAAGAUAUACAGAUUCAGAUGAAACUGAUGUUGAGAAUACACCGACCCAAAGGAAAAGGACAGUGAUUCCCAGACCACAGAGAAAUGUUGCCCGAAUGAUUGUUGAUGAGUAUCAAGCCACAACCUUGACAGAGACUCAGAAGAAGCUGAAGGAAAUGGAGGAGGAAAAUGAACAAUUGAGAAAUAAUGAAAAAUUUAGAUAAAUGGUCAUUAGAGAGUUACCAAAUCUGAUAAAUGAAGUGAAGAUGGCCCUGAAGUCUCAGCAUUCGUCAACGUCGUCAGUCAGCUCUGACUUUGAAGGUGGACAGGGUUUGCCACAAUGAAGACUGCACUUUUCAACGAACCAUUUGGAAAUCAGUAUCUAUAUCAAACUAUUGCAGCCCUUGGCAACACUGCAUAAUAAAUUGUUUUCGUACUCUUCCUAAAAACAGGUGGAAAUUUCUCCUGGAUCUAAUGUAUUCGUUGACAGACUGGCUUGGGCUGUGGCCCAGAAUGCGAACUCCGCCUCUUGUUUUGUGAGAACACUCCUGACGGCAGUGUUCCCAAUUGAUGUGUUCCUUGUGAGCAAUCUUCGAGGAACAUCCAGGGAUUCUGGGCCACAACGCCAGGCUCUUGACCAAAUGAAAGUGGAAGCAAUCUACAGAGCAAUGUUGCAAAUGUGGCCUCAUGUGAUGCCCUCCAGCACUGGUGCAGCCAUCAAUGCCAAACUUACUGAAAUUAGAGGGAAGAAGAAAACACAAGAACAUAUGGAAACCUUAAUGCUCUUUGAUGAUUAAUGGCCAUGACAGUGUGUUCAAGGUAUUUUUUUUAUUUAUUUAUUUGUGUGUUUUACUGAGCAAAGGUCAGUUUGCUAUCAAGUUGGAAUUCUAAAUUACUCAUGUGAAGAAUAAUUUGAUUGUGUGUCACUAUGAUUGUGUUGAAAUAAGUAUUUCCAUCGCAAAUUUGUGUAAGUCAUUGACUGAAAUCCUAUAUGAUUAGUAUAUGCAGAGAUAUUGUAAUAUUGACUGAUCAUGUAUGAUAAUUAUAUUUAGAGAUAUAGUAAUAUUAUUUCUGUAAUAUGAGGAAUUAGGUGGAAACAUAUAAAGCUUGAAGAGCAGGCACAUUAUUUCCCUAUUAAAAACAUAUGAAAUCUAUAUGAAAUACAUAUAAACAAAUGACACAAAAUGUAAAUAAAUCCUAUAUGACUUUAA